UACGUAGGGUGCAAGCGUUGUCCGGAAUUAUUGGGCGUAAAGAGCUUGUAGGCGGUUUGUCGCGUCUGCUGUGAAAUUUCGGGGCUCAACCCCGAACUUGCAGUGGGUACGGGCAGACUAGAGUGUGGUAGGGGAGACUGGAAUUCCUGGUGUAGCGGUGAAAUGCGCAGAGAUCAUGAGGAACACCGGUGGCGAAGGCGGUGGUCUGGGCCGGAACUGACGCUGAGGAGCGAAAGCGUGGGGAGCGAACAGG
rnacentral:rRNA from 1 species